AGGCAUUAGAUCAGUAGGUUGAGUUAGCGUUGGAAUAAGGGUGGGGGUUAAAUAUGGAUAAUAUUUCUCAAAAAUGCAGUUAUUUCAUGUUCAAGCAUAUGCCAUCUGUGCAGGGUGUUUGAUAGCCUUGUAAACACAGAAGGGAUUUUGUUGUGUCUGUGAUUCAUCUACAAGUGAAUUAAUGUUUUAGAAUGGGAAGCACAGCUCAACAGCCAGGGGAAGUGGAGAAGAGUGUGUAGCCCUGGCCUGGAUGUUCAGGCGGAGGGAGAUCGGUACAGGUGGGACUCAAGCUGUCUGAACAGUGCCUCCAGUGUGUGGGUCAGAGAAGGGGCAGGCCACAUUUGCCUCUAUUCAUCCAUGGAUCCCAAGCAUCCCGACAGAAGGGGUCCCAGGGGCAGCGGCAGAGCCCAAGACUGCCCAGCCUUGUGUGAGUGGGGACAGACCGUGACAAAAGGAGGCUCUUCUCCGACAAAACCUCCGCUCCCUUCACCCCAUUUUCUUCUGCGCCUGAGCCUGAAAGAAGCAUAACCGCUUGAAAUGUUCUUCUUGCGCCGUAUGAAAGGCAGCAUCAACUCCUGCACAGGGAGCUGCUGAAGCAGCAGCCUGGUGCUAGCGGAAGGCAGCUGAGCAGAAACCCCUGCUGUGCACCUGAAAGAGAAGCAGGGCAUCUUUACUUGCCCUGGCCAGCAGCCUGUUGUGCAUUAAACCUUACAGCUUUGGCUGUUUUCAGUAGUUUAUUGCUUU